rnacentral:rRNA from 1 species
UACGUAGGGGGCAAGCGUUGUCCGGAAUCAUUGGGCGUAAAGAGCGUGUAGGCGGCCUGAUAAGUCGGCUGUGAAAGUCAAGGGCUCAACCCUUGAAUGCCGGCCGAUACUGUCAGGCUAGAAUCCGGAAGAGGCGAGUGGAAUUCCUGGUGUAGCGGUGGAAUGCGCAGAUAUCAGGAGGAACACCUAUGGCGAAGGCAGCUCGCUGGGACGGUAUUGACGCUGAGGAGCGAAAGCCAGGGGAGCAAACGGG